GGGGCGGUAGCUCAAUCGGGUAGAGCAGCCCGGGCGCAAGCCCGGUUCAUGUUUCGGCACCCUAGUCGCCUCCAGACAUUGCGCGAAUGCAGUCGGAAGUACAUCGCACAUAACGAUGAGGUUGUGGGUUCGAGUCCCACCCCCGCUUCA
rnacentral:tRNA from 1 species